UCCCGGUCUCAGUUGGCUCGAGAGCAGA
rnacentral:piRNA from 1 species